UAAAUUUUGUAUUGUUUAUGUUAGUUUCUUUGUUCUGUAUUGUUAUAUUUGUUCUGUUUGUUACUUUAGGCACUUUUAAAAAUUUUGGGAACGUCCAAUUACAGCCGUUAUGCUGCCAAAAUUUCGGUAGAAUUUAGUGUUAUUAGUAGCAUGAUAUUCAAUUUUGUUUGUUAAUGGUGUAGAUAUGGCCAACUCGAGUUCGGGAUCUGAUUCAGACCCAGAGGCAGAGUGUCCAACCACAAUACCUACACGAGGGCCGACGCAAAUGAAUGAAAUAUCCAAACUAAUGGAUCAGGGGAAAAGAGUGGCCCUCGAAGUUAAUGAUAAAGGUCAAUACUGUGGAAAAAGCUAUGCGAAGCUCGUAUCCACUCUAGGAGUCAGAUGUCGGCAGACAAUAGGGUUGGCUUAUAAAAACUGGAAAGAAGUCAACCCGACUCUGAAAAAUAAAGUUUGGAAAGACAUUCAGGUAAGCUAUUAUUUGUUAGAAUUUUGAUUUGUUUUUCUAUUACUCCAAAUGUUGACUCUAACCGUGUUUGUUUUCCUUCAAAAUAGACGGGGUUCAUUGUGUCGGACACCUUCAAACAUGAUUGUCUCAUCCUAGCUGGGAAGUUAAUGAAAGACUUCAAGAAUAGGAUGACAAAAGACAUCAUAAUGCCCGCGUUGAAAGAGAAUGAUCUGGGACGACUGGCACAAGUCCCUGAAAAGCACCCCGAGAUCGACGCUGCUGAUUGGUGCAAAUUUGUUGAAAGUCGACUAACUCCUGAAUUUCUGGAAUUGAGUAAGGUGCAACGUGAACGUUCCUCAAAAAUUCAAUCCAGACAUCGAAGUGGUCGGAGUGGAAUGGUGAACGUACGGGAAGUUGUG